rnacentral:rRNA from 1 species
AGAGUUUGAUCCUGGCUCAGGACGAACGCUGGCGGCGUGCUUAACACAUGCAAGUCGAACGGAAAGGUCUCUUCGGAGAUACUCGAGUGGCGAACGGGUGAGUAACACGUGGGUGAUCUGCCCUGCACUUUGGGAUAAGCCUGGGAAACUGGGUCUAAUACCGGAUAGGACCGCGCCAUGCAUGUGGUGUGGUGGAAAGCUAUUUGCGGUGUGGGAUGGGCCCGCGGCCUAUCAGCUUGUUGGUGGAGUGAUGGCCUACCAAGGCGACGACGGGUAGCCGGCCUGAGAGGGUGUCCGGCCACACUGGGACUGAGAUACGGCCCAGACUCCUACGGGAGGCAGCAGUGGGGAAUAUUGCACAAUGGGCGCAAGCCUGAUGCAGCGACGCCGCGUGGGGGAUGACGGCCUUCGGGUUGUAAACCUCU